GAUGAAGAACGUAGCGAAAUGCGAUAAGUAAUGUGAAUUGCAGAAUUCAGUGAAUCAUCGAAUCUUUGAACGCACAUUGCGCCCUCUGGUAUUCCGGGGGGCAUGCCUGUUCGAGCGUCAUUAUAACCACUCAAGCUCUCGCUUGGUAUUGGGGUUCGCGGUUCCGCGGCCCCUAAAAUCAGUGGCGGUGCCUGUCGGCUCUACGCGUAGUAAUGCUCCUCGCGAUUGAGUCCGGUAGGUCUACUUGCCAGCAACCCCCAAUUUUUACAGGUUGACCUCGGAUCAGGUAGGGAUACCCGCUGAACUUAAGCAUAUCAAUAAGCGGAGGA
rnacentral:misc_RNA from 1 species